ACCACCUCUUUUCCGGUUUCCUAUCUGGUGCACAACUUCCAUUCACUUUAACGUAUAAUGAAAUUAUCUUUUAAAACACUAAGUAAGUUUUUCUAGAUCAACAAUAUAAAAUGUUUUGAACGCUUCGAUGUGGUAUGUCGGAUCCGACCAUAACGUCUGAACCGGGUUUGGGGUGCUACAUUCUCUCUGGAGAAACCCCGAGACCGGCCAGGGGGUCCGGCCAUCUCUCCGUCGUGGGAAAUCGCCUCAGGGUAUGGCCGGUGGAGCAGGUGGCCGGUGGUUGGUGUCAGGGGCAAGUGGGGAGUAGGUUCGGUGCCGAAAGGGAAUAGGGGUUAGGGUUGUUUUGUGUUUUCUAAAAAUGUUGGGAAUGGGCUAAGGUUUAGUUGGAUAGUGAUGUAAUUGGGCUUUGGGGUUAUGAAAUGGGCUGAGGUUUAAAUGGGUUAAUGGUUUUGUAAGGCUAGUGGGUAAGGUUGGGUCUUGGGUCUGACAUGGGAUUUGAGUGUGGGUUUUGGUUUAUUGGGUUGAUUUAGUUGAUCUGUUUUAGGGUUUGGGUUGUAAAAGGGGUAAAUGGGUAAUUGUUGAAUGGCCCAAAAUUGGCCUAUAACAAACAAAAAUAUCUUUUAUUAUUUAUUAUUAUAUUAUAUUGUCAAAUAAAUAAAUUUUAUUAUAUUGUCAAAUAAAUAAA